rnacentral:rRNA from 2 species
CCUAUCAGCAAGUCGAACGAACUCUGGUAUUGAUUGGUGCUUGCAUCAUGAUUUACAUUUGAGUGAGUGGCGAACUGGUGAGUAACACGUGGGAAACCUGCCCAGAAGCGGGGGAUAACACCUGGAAACAGAUGCUAAUACCGCAUAACAACUUGGACCGCAUGGUCCGAGUUUGAAAGAUGGCUUCGGCUAUCACUUUUGGAUGGUCCCGCGGCGUAUUAGCUAGAUGGUGAGGUAACGGCUCACCAUGGCAAUGAUACGUAGCCGACCUGAGAGGGUAAUCGGCCACAUUGGGGACUGAGACA